rnacentral:SRP_RNA from 1 species
ACAGUCCAUUUUUCUGGGCAACUUUGUUUAGUUGUUAGAUGUUUUUUGAAGUAUGAAGAAUAAAGUGUGUGUCUGUGUGUAUACCAAUCGAGUGUCUGCAAUAACUACAGCAUCAAUAUGGUGACUUCCCAGGAGUGGGGGACCACCAUGUCAUCUAAGGAUGGGUGAACCAGCCCAGGUCAGAAGUGGAGCAGGUCAAAAGUCCCAUGCUGAGCGGUAGUGGAAUCCUGCCUGUGAAUAGCUACUGCACUCCGUCUUGUGCAACAUAGUGAGAUCUC